GACAUCUUGUCACCCGAAGAGCAACCAGAGGACGUAGAAAAUGGACCUGAUCUCAGAUGAGACAAAAUAGAGCAUGUCACUAAGGUGCAUGAGGGGUCAUGCAUUCUGGAAAAUAAUGCAGAGUGGUACAGGCUGAAGCGGAGCGGAGAGGACACUGUUUCAAGAUUCCUGCGCCAGCUCCUUCGUUGUUAUAGAAGUUGGACUAAAUAAAAGGGUAAUCACAAGCGUACAGAUAACAGGCAGGCAGGAAUGUGAAAAUC
rnacentral:lncRNA from 1 species